rnacentral:rRNA from 1 species
CGGAUGAGAAGACGAUUUUCAGCUCAGAUUCAGAGUCCGAAGGAUUUUACGCUGAGACAAGGCGGCAAACGCAGCGACGGA